rfam:Nicotiana attenuata strain TT chromosome 5, whole genome shotgun sequence.
ACCAAUUCUGGGGGACAGGCAAUUCCUCUCGGCAUAAUGGCUCAGACGCUAGAUAAAUACUGUAUUAGAGUGGUUAUCCUGAUCAAUGGAUUAAUUUACCAGUUCUAUUGCAUCCUGGAAACGCCACUUAUAUUG